UACGAAGGGGGCUAGCGUUGCUCGGAAUCACUGGGCGUAAAGGGUGCGUAGGCGGGUCUUUAAGUCAGAGGUGAAAUCCUGGAGCUCAACUCCAGAACUGCCUUCGAUACUGGAAAGCUCGAGUCCGGGAGAGGUGAGUGGAACUGCGAGUGUAGAGGUGAAAUUCGUAGAUAUUCGCAAGAACACCAGUGGCGAAGGCGGCUCACUGGCCCGGUACUGACGCUGAGGUGCGAAAGCGUGGGGAGCAAACAGG
rnacentral:rRNA from 1 species